GUAGGGGGCCAGCGUUGUCCGGAUUCAUUGGGCGUAAAGAGCGUGUAGGCGGUUCAAUAGGUCCGAUGUGAAAACUCGAGGGCUCAACCUCGAGAGGUCGUCGGAAACCAUUGAACUAGAGUCCCGGAAGAGGAGAGUGGAAUUCCUGGUGUAGCGGUGAAAUGCGCAGAUAUCAGGAAGAACACCGAUGGCGAAGGCAGCUCUCUGGGACGGUACUGACGCUAAGACGCGAAAGCGUGGGGAGCGAACAGGAUUAGAUACCCUGGUAGUCCACGCCGUAAACGAUGGGCACUAGGUGUGGGUGGUGUCGACUCCAUCCGUGCCGAAGCUAACGCAUUAAGUGCCCCGCCUGGGGAGUACGGCCGCAAGGCUA
rnacentral:rRNA from 1 species